rnacentral:rRNA from 1 species
UACAGGGGGGGCAAGCGUUGUUCGGAAUUACUGGGCGUAAAGGGCUCGUAGGUGGCCAACUAAGUCAGACGUGAAAUCUCCCGGCUCAACUGGGAGGGUGCGCCGAAUACUGAAUGACUAGAGUGCGGGAGAGGAAAGUGGAAUUCCUGGUGUAGCGGUGAAAUGCGUAGAUAUCAGGAGGAACACCGGUGGUGUAGACGGCUUUCUGGACCGUAACUGACGCUGAGACACGAAAGCGUGGGUAGCAAACAGG